rnacentral:rRNA from 1 species
GUGCCAGCAGCCGCGGUAAUACGUAGGGUGCGAGCGUUAAUCGGAAUUACUGGGCGUAAAGCGUGCGCAGGCGGUAAGUUAAGUCUGAUGUGAAAGCCCCGGGCUCAACCUGGGAAUGGCAUUGGAAACUGGCUUGCUAGAGUGUGGCAGAGGGGGGUGGAAUUCCGCGUGUAGCAGUGAAAUGCGUAGAGAUGCGGAGGAACACCGAUGGCGAAGGCAGCCCCCUGGGCCAACACUGACGCUCAGGCACGAAAGCGUGGGGAGCAAACAGGAUUAGAAACCCCCGUAGUCC